AGUGGCGGACGGGUGAGUAACACGUGGGUGACCUGCCCUUUGGUGAGGAAUACCGGCGAGAAAUCGCCGACAAUACCGCAUACGCUCGUGAGCAAAGCUUCGCCAGAGGAUGGGCCUGCGUCCGAUUAGCUAGUUGGUAGGGUAAGAGCUUACCAAGGCGACGAUCGGUAGCUGGUCUGAGAGGACGAUCAGCCACACUGGGAUUGAGAACGGCCCAGACUCCUACGGGAGGCAGCAGUGAGGAAUUUUCGGCAAUGGGGGCAACCCUGACCGAGCAACGCCGCGUGCAGGAGGACGCUUUUCGGAGUGUAAACUGCUUUUAUCGGGGAAGAAAGACGGUACCCGGUGAAG
rnacentral:rRNA from 1 species